rnacentral:lncRNA from 1 species
GAUUUGGAAAAGGGUGUGCAACAUGUACAGCAAACUGUUCUACAUCGUUGUAAAAAAUGGAGUGUCUCGGCCUCGUUAAUAACAAGCUGAGGAAGGGAAUGAUGGAGAAGAUUGAAACCUAGAAGAUACUGCGGCAGACGACAGCACAGAUGGAGGACUCAUAGCUCUUUUUCAGCUGCGGCACUGACACAGGCGUUGUAAUAUUAUGGAAACUCUCACCACCUGGAUCAUAACAAGUGUAACACUUGAACCUCCGAUCCUGGAAGACAAGACUUUUGGCACCUUUGGAAAAUAAUAACCACGCGGCCCUAACUAACUCUUCCUGCCGGGUUUCCUAUCCCGGGUCGUAAAGGGAGAGGUAAGAACCUUGAGACCACAGCCCACCCACCAGAUCCCAGCAGCCUUUCGGGGAGUCUGGCUGACCAGCUAGAACUCCAAACGUUGUUGGUGCCUCCCGCACUGAUCCCAAAAUGGGCGGGUGAUCCAAGCUGCGAAGAAAUAUUUAAGACCCUAACUGGAGAUGCUGUAAGCCUUAGAAAACAAAACGUAACAAUACUUUCUUAUUUUGCUUUUGUCAGGUUGUAAAUAAUACAAUUGUGGGGAAAAUUAGGCCUCUGUAAAUUACUUUUCUUAAAACGGGCAACUCUUGUGUGAUACUUUAUGCAAUAUCAUCUGCGCUGUACCUCCAGUUGUUAUUAAUUGGGAAAAUCCCUUUCUUUUUUUUUUUUGCUUUUUAAGGUCACACCCAACCCCACUCCCAGGGUGGAGUUCGCAUCUGAGCUGUUGCUGCUGGGCCUGUGCCCCAGACACAGCAGUGCCAGAUCCAAGCUGGGUCUAUGACCUAUACCACAGCUCACCACAUGGCCAAAUCCUUAACCUGAGCAAGCCCCAGGAUCGGACCGCAACCUCAUGGUUCCCAGUUGGAUUCCUUUUAGCUGAGCCACGGACGGGAGCUCCUGAAAAAUGCUAACUUUUAAUAAGUAUCUUAAAAAAUACUUGUAAGAUUAGGAAAAUGCUUAUUUUUUAAAAAUAGUUGCCUGAAAUACUUAGUUUUGGGAAAAUUUCCCUUGAUCUAAAACAGACAAAAUGUAUUUAAACUUUGAUUUACAUAAAGAGGAGGACAGUUUAUGAUAGUUACAGACUAAAGGGCAGAAACAGGUGAUUAAGUAGUUGAUCCUAUUAGGGGAUUGUUAAAAAAAAAAAAUUGGGGGGUAUAUAAAUUAAUGGUAAUGCAAGAAAGCAGGCUUGCUUAGCAGCAAAACCAUGGAACAGAAGCAUGAAAUAUGCCUCCAGAUGAUAAAGGAAUAGUAAAAUGAGACCUACAUCUUGUUUAGUGAGGUUAGUAAGCCAGUGAUUCCUAGGACAUGCUUCUCUGUACACACUAAAAACAAAAACAUAGGGAAAAGUGGCAGUCUACUGAAAUCUGAGCUGAUUUCCCAUAUGUUAGUGUGUAUUAUCACCUUUUUGCUCAUUUCCAUUGUGCCAUGACAGUCCCAGUUUGACCAGACAGGGACAAGAAAACUCCCCCCCCCAAACUUGAUGAUGGAAGCUUGAUAUCUGCUACUAUUUAGAGGAGGAGGAAGAAGGAGGUCUUAAUCCCCUUCCCCACUUUUCCUUUGAUUUUAGAACUGUAGCUAUUAAGUUCUCAGCUUGGCAUUCCUUUGCCUUCCUCCUUGUAUUUCACACAAAUCUCAGAAAUGUCCUGUACUGAUAAACCCUUUUCUUCUUCUUCUUUUUUUUUUUUUUUUUUUUUGCUCUUUAGGGCCGAAACCUCAGCACAUGGAGGUUCCCAGGCUAGGGGCUAAAUCAGAGCCAUAGCCUCUGGCCUAUUCCAUAACCACAGCAACGCAGGAUUUGAGCAGCAUCUGUGACCUACACCACAGCUCACAGCAAUGCCAGAUCCUCAGCCUGCUGAGAGAGGCCAGGGAUUGAACAUGCAACCUCAUGGUUCCUAGUCAGGUUUGUUGUCCACUGCAUCAAGACGGGAACGCUGAUAAACUCUUCUUACCUGUCACUCUGUUACUGAAUUCUUUCUCUGCUGAAAGAAUUACUUUACUUGUCUAAGUCCUAAGACAAAUUAUGUUGUUUCAUUUAGAGAUAGAUGACUCAAUAAAUUCUAACACAUUUAAUGAGGAGCUCUGGAAUCCCUAGUAUUUUGCACCCGUAUUUUCAUUGCUCUUUGAAGAAUAGUAACUGUACUACCUCUAGUUUAGUAGUUUAUAGUCUAGGAGUUGCCGCCGUGGUGCAGUGGUUAAUGAAUCCAACUAGGAACCAUGAGGUUGCGGGUACGGUCCCUGCCCUUGCUCAGUGGAUUAAGGAUCCGGCAUUGCCAUGAGCUGUGGUGUAGGGUCAAAGACGUGGCUCGGAUCCCACGUUGCUGUGGCUCUGGCGUAGGCCGGUGGCUACAGUGCCGAUUCGCCCCCUAGCCUGGGAACCUCCAUAUGCCACAGGAGCGGCCCAAGGAAUAGCAAAAAAACCAAAAAAAAAAAAAAGUUUACUGUCUAAUUAAUUGCUUCCUCUGAAACACUUCUACUGUAUUUUCCUUACUCUAUUUGUUAAUGAUUACAGACAGAUUCCUCAGAAUGUCUGUAAUGAGUAAAUUAACUGCAAUAAGGUGACCCUCAAGACUGAGGAAUUUUUGGCAUUUUUAAAUACAUUUGCACAAGCAGAAAUACAGAUAUUGUGGAAUAUUUAGGUCAUAGUUUAUACAGAUCUUAAAAGAUCACAUGACAAAAUCAUGACUAGAUUUAUACAUACAGUUAAAGUUUGUCCUUUAUAUUAGCAUCAAAAAUACUUUCAAGAAGUUCCCUAGGGCUCAGUAAAUUAAGGAUCUGGCAUUAUCACUGCAGCAGCUCAGGUCACUGCUGUGCUGUUUUUGAUCUCUGGCCCAGGAACUUACACGUUGCGUGAGAGACCAAAAAAAAAAGUUUCAAAAGUCUUUACAGCAAACCUAAUUUUUUACCAGUGUUUCCAGUUCUUACUGGUGUCAUUGGACCUUGAUGAGAGAACUAAAUAUGGAUUUGGAUUUGAGAGGUUUGAUAAGGAGCCAAUUGUGAGUACUUUCAUUGUACUUAUGGGCAUUAACAAGUGGUAUGGUCAAUUUAUUUUUAUUUCUAAUAGCAGUUAAUUGUGGGUUGCCCUGUCUUCUUAGGUUUAUAGUUUGGUCCCAACCAUUUCCACUAUUAAUCCAAAAAUUGGAUUCCAAGUGAAUUCCACUUCAAUCUCUUGAAGCAUUGGUCAAGUUUCCUACUGUGAUAUUUCUC